GAAAGGUAUGCUAAUACGGGAUAAUAUAUUUGAGAGGCAUCUCUUGAAUAUCAAAGGUGAGCCAGUACAGGAUGGACCCGCGUCUGAUUAGCUAGUUGGUAAGGUAACGGCUUACCAAGGCGACGAUCAGUAGCCGACCUGAGAGGGUGAUCGGCCACAUUGGAACUGAGACACGGUCCAAACUCCUACGGGAGGCAGCAGUGGGGAAUAUUGCACAAUGGGCGAAAGCCUGAUGCAGCAACGCCGCGUGAGUGAUGAAGGCCUUCGGGUCGUAAAACUCUGUCCUCAAGGAAGAUAAUGACGGUACUUGAGGAGGAAGCCCCGGCUAACUACGUGCCAGCAG
rnacentral:rRNA from 1 species